GACGAACGCUGGCGGCGUGCUUAACACAUGCAAGUCGAACGGAAAGGCCCUGCUUUUGUGGGGUGCUCGAGUGGCGAACGGGUGAGUAACACGUGAGUAACCUGCCCUUGACUUUGGGAUAACUUCAGGAAACUGGGGCUAAUACCGGAUAGGAGCUCCUGCUGCAUGGUGGGGGUUGGAAAGUUUCGGCGGUUGGGGAUGGACUCGCGGCUUAUCAGCUUGUUGGUGGGGUAGUGGCUUACCAAGGCUUUGACGGGUAGCCGGCCUGAGAGGGUGACCGGCCACAUUGGGACUGAGAUACGGCCCAGACUCCUACGUGAGGCAGCAGUGGAGAAUAUUGCACAAUGGGCGGAAGCCUGAUGCAGCAACGCCGCGUGCGGAAUGACGGCCUUCGGGUUGUAAACCGCUUUCGCCUGUGACGAAGCGUGAGUGACGGUAAUGGAUAAAGAAGCACCGGCUAACUACGUG
rnacentral:rRNA from 1 species